rnacentral:misc_RNA from 1 species
GAUGAAGAACGUAGCGAAAUGCGAUAAGUAAUGUGAAUUGCAGAAUUCAGAGAAUCAUCGAAUCUUUGAACGCACCUUGCGCCCUUUGGCUAUUCCGAAGGGCAUGCCUGUUUGAGUAUCAUGAACACCUCAACUCUCAUGGUUUGCCAUGAUGAGCUUGGACUUUGGGGGUCUUGCCGGCCUAUGGGUCGGCUCCUCUCAAAUUAAUCAGCUUGCCAGUGUUUGGUGGCAUCACAGGUGUGAUAACUAUCUACGCUUGUGGUUUUCCAUCAGGUAACCUUCAGUGAUGGAGGUUCGCUGGGGCUCAUAAAUGUCUCUCCUCAGUGAGGACAGCUUUUUUGAACGUUUGAUCUCAAAUCAGGUAGGACUACCCGCUGAACUUAAGCAUAUCAAUAAGCGGAGGA